UACUCCUUCGGGGGGGCAGCAGUAGGGAAUCUUCCGCAAUGGGCGAAAGCCUGACGGAGCAAUGCCGCGUGAGUGAUGAAGGUUUUCGGAUCGUAAAGCUCUGUUGCCAGGGAAGAACGCUUGGGAGAGUAACUGCUCCCAAGGUGACGGUACCUGAGAAGAAAGCCCCGGCUAACUACGUGCCAGCAGCCGCGGUAAUACGUAGGGGGCAAGCGUUGUCCGGAAUUAUUGGGCGUAAAGCGCGCGCAGGCGGUCAUGUAAGUCUGGUGUUUAAUCCCGGGGCUCAACCCCGGAUCGCACUGGAAACUGCGUGACUUGAGUGCAGAAGAGGAGAGUGGAAUUCCACGUGUAGCGGUGAAAUGCGUAGAGAUGUGGAGGAACACCAGUGGCGAAGGCGACUCUCUGGGCUGUAACUGACGCUGAGCGCGUAGCUACUUAUCCC
rnacentral:rRNA from 1 species